GCAGACCUUAAGUCUAAGAGAGAGUGCAAGUGCAGAAACAAAGAUUUAAGAACUAAAGAAGUAAAGGAGAGUGAAAGAAGUGCUGGGAAGCAGCCAUUGACACUUCAAAAAAGUUGACAAUUUUACACCAAAGGGGGUUCAGGGGGUUGGGAAUUGCAAAUAACCUAUGUACUUAGGCAAAAGUCAAUUCUGGGCAUAUACAACAAUAUGGGUGCUGUCAUGCCUUCAAAUAAAUCAGAACGUACAAUGUAUAAAGGUAACAUGGAGGUCAUGAUCCUAGGAGGACCAAGUUUUUGUCAUGUUCAGCAAUAUUUGAUGGUGUCAUGUCCCAAACAAACCACAAGCAUCAAACAUAUUGGGGUAGGGUUUUAGGAUUCAUAAUCCAUUGAUUCAGAACAGGAGAAAGGAAUUUACAACAUGCUAAAUAAAUGUACUAAAAUAGAUACAAGCAGUAGGCAAACAACAAUGCAAUAACAUUAGGUAACCAUGUAGUUAUUGGUGAAUAAAGCUUAACUAGAACAUAUCAGUUCAAAGAAGUAAAAUGCAGUAAAGAAAGAUAGCAGGACUUGAAAUAUAGUUUUGGCUUUCAGUCAGUUAAACAUGCCAUAGUGUAAAUAGUAAAGCAAGAGAUAGUGUUCGAGUGUAAGUAAGAGUUCAGAAUUAAAAGUGUUCGUGUUUGUGCUAAUGAAAAAGCAAGGUACUUAUAGUUUGAAAACAUGUAGAAAAUAAGGCAAGAAUCAUAGUUCAACAGUAAUUAUGGAACUAUGUACUAAUUAAAAUCAAAUCAGUAUAAAUCUUCCUUCAAUUGAGGAGUUAAAAAUUAACGUUGAUGGGCAAAAAAAUAUUUAAGGAUAGAAAUCAAGUUGAGCAUGAUGUGCAGAAUAGACAAUUAGCGGUAAGUACAUAAAGGUUUAAUUAAGGGAACAACUAAUGAAGAAUCCUUGAAAUACUCGGACCCAUAUAAGUUAAGAAAACAAAAUAAAGUUAUAGAAUACAGAGGUAAUCGAAAAUCAACACAUAGUAAAUCAGGGAAUCAAGGAUUUCCCAAGUUAAAAAAUAGAAGAAUCGAAACUCUAAAGGGAAGUUUUCAAAUCAAGCCAAGAAACAGGGAGAUCAACCAGGGAAAACAAGGAAAGAAUCAAUUACAUAACACACGAGUUCAAUCAGAACUACAUAAGGAAUGGUUUGAAAUCAGUCCAAAAUUGAAGGUCAUUUUAGAGGGGAAUUCAGCAUACAACUAGAAUGCAUAAAUAUUAGGAAUGUGAGGCCGAACUAUGGCAAAGAGAAGCAACAUACAAUAACAGUCACAUAGUCAGUAGACAGUGAACUAUCAAAACAUGAUAGUCAUAUAGGUUAACGUCGGCAACUUAGUAAUAGAGAAAAGAGAGAGUAUCAGGAGCAUGCAAAGGGUCAAGUAAAAGCCCUUCUGAAAAAGCAUAGUCGAAUUUUAAUGACAGCAAAAAGUCAAAAUCACGUAAAGAGACAUGUGCUGAAACUAAAAGAUUUUAAAUCCAGUCGAGCAACUUCAAAUAGAUGAAGUAGCUUCAGAAGCUCGAAUAGGCCCCAGAGAAAUUAGGGUUUUUGAAAUCAAUCGAAUUCAGAGACGAUGAACAUGUAAAUCACACAGCAAAUAGUCUCAAAACUUGAAUGAACCCAAAAUUUUGGGAUUUUCAACACCAAUCGAGUCUAGAGAUGAAAAAUAAGUAAAUCGAACAAAUACUAACAAAAGAAUAGAUUCAAAAACCUCAAAAGGAAUUAAGGCCAUUAAAAAGCAAACUCAAGUAGAAGAAUGACAUAAGGAAACACAGCAAAACAUGUCAAAUAACUUAACAGAAAACCUAAUCGGAAAAGAUAAUGGUUUUUGAGGGUAGAGUUCUAGAAGAAACUUUGAGAAAAACAUUUAAAAGUUUUGAGAAAACACAGAUCUAAAAUAGAUCUAAAAGAAAUCGAAAGAACCUUAAAGGUUAGGGUUACAAAAGAACCCCAAGUGGUGAGAAAGGCUUUGAAAAUCAUCGGCCUAAGUAGGAGAGUCAAGAGUCAGACUCGAAUAGCCAUAGCUGGCCGAAGCAAGGUCAAAGAUGACUGGAUACAGCAAUAAAACUGAAAUCGACCAAAGUUUGGACCAAGCUUUCGAGGAUCUAGCCUUGAAAUCAUGAUAAUCAGGCAUGUAGAAGCCAUAUGAGGUGAAUACAGGCUUCCGAUGACCAUGGAAGCCAUUGAUUUGGGAGAUUUUAGGGUUGUAGUAGAGGGCAGUGGCUAGGGUUUGGGAGAGGAUUGAGACAGAAUUGAGAGAGAAAGGAAUUCAGAGCAGUUGGG
rnacentral:lncRNA from 1 species